GCCAGGCAUGGUGGCGCAUGCCUGUAAUCCUAGCUACUUGGAGGCUGAGGCAGGAGAAUUGCUUGAACCCCGGAGGUGGAGGUUGCAGUGAGUGGAGAUCGCAACACUGCACUCCAGCCUGGGCAACAGAGCGAAACUCUGUCUCCA
rnacentral:SRP_RNA from 1 species